UUUUAUGUAUAUAAUACUUAAUAUAAAAUAAAAUAAUUAAAUAUUAAUAUAUAAAUGAUAAAACUUAAUAAAAUAAAAAAUAUAUCAAAUUUAAUUAAUUUAUAUAAUAUAAUAAAAUUUAAGUAUAAAUAUAUUGUCAUAAAAAUAAUAUUUAUAUUAAUAUAUGUAUUAUUUAUUAAAUUUGAGCAUUUAUUUAAUUUAUUUGAAAUUAAUUAAAAUAAAGUAUAAAAAAAAUAAAAUGGCAUAAAAAGAAAAAAAGAGACAAAAAAAAUAAGUUCCGGCUUGUUCUCCAUUUCAUGGAGAACAAUCUUAACGGGUUGUUCCCGGAACAACCCGUUAAGCCCGGAACAACCGGGUUGUUCCAUUUUGCAUUGCGUUUGGGGGGACAACGAGGGAUAUCCCGCCUUGUUCUGGGAUAUACUUCCAACCAAACGCAGCCUAAGAGCUUAGCACCACAGUUAUAUUUCUAUAUUCGAGCUAUAUUGAGCCAAACACGAGUGAACUGGCCGAAAUUCGUGUUUAACAUAUUAAGAUUUUGAGCUAAAAAAUU
rnacentral:lncRNA from 1 species